CAGGGCUGCCAAAAGAAUAAAGAAAUGCAUUCCUUCAUGUAUUUUAGAACAUCUUUUGCAGGUAUGUCAACUAACUCUCAAGCAAGAAUCUGGCUCAAAAGAAGUAGUAAUCUCAUACACUGAAAUAGUAAUCUUAUAAACUGUUAGUAUCUUCAACAUGAAAACACUCUUGUUAAGCUGAGACGUUCCCCUUUAGAAGGUUAAAAACCCCACUAUAAAUAGAUCAAGUGUAUGGUAAUUGAAAAAAUGCUGUGUGCUUGCCCUGGCAAAUGCUUCAAAUUGCACGAAGGCAUACAGCAACUUGCACACUGAAAAACAGAGCCUUUGGCAACUUCAGUGUAUGUCUGAAAUGAAGGCUAAAACUUGUAAAGCUGAAGUGCCUUGCUGACAUUAAAUGGGAGGGAUUCUCUGCAGAGAUCAUGAGGGCUGGAUGCAAAAUGGGGGGAGAAUCUGGUAACAGCAUAGUCCAUAUUACUUGCGCUUAGAAUUAUGUCAGAGUCCACUGGUAUACAGGGCAGAGAAAUGUACUAUCAAACUGAGGAAAAAAGAAGAAAAUACAAUUAAGUAAAUAACAAAAUACAGUUAUAAUCUGUUACUCAAGUAAUUCAGGUGGAAGGCAGAAAUUAAUCAUUCUUGUUUAACCUUUUCUUCUAAUUGGUGUGAAUUAUUUUAUCCAAUCAGGUUUUUUCUCAUUGAGAUUAAAAUACUGGAAAUAAAACACCAAGACAAUGAGCUUCAUGGACAUGGGUGAAACUGUAAUGUGAAGAGGAGGUGAUGCAGUCUGGGAAGAGAGAGCAGAUUCAGCUGUGACGAUGCAAAUGUUUCCAUUUUUCUUCUUUGACUGACCUGUUUCCCAGAAGAAAGCAGAGCUCCUUUCCUGCACACUAGGAGAGGACCCACAAGACCAGAACUGGUGUCUCUGACUGCAUCCACAGCUGAGUAAUAAAGCCAGGUUAAACAG